AUUAAAAUAGCUUAAUAAGAGUUUUGUAUUGAAGUUACAAAGGUGAUCCUAAGGUCUUUUAAUA
rnacentral:tRNA from 1 species